CAGAGGUCCCGAGCGUUGUUCGGAUUCACUGGGCGUAAAGGGUGCGUAGGUGGUGAGGUAAGUCGGAUGUGAAAUCUCCAGGCUCAACCUGGAAACUGCAUUGGAAACUACCUUGCUUGAGGGUUUGAGGGGGGACUGGAAUUCUCGGUGUAGCAGUGAAAUGCGUAGAUAUCGAGAGGAACACCAGUGGCGAAGGCGAGUCCCUGGAAAACACCUGACACUGAGGCACGAAAGCUAGGGGAGCAAACAGGAUUAGAUACCCUGGUAGUCCUAGCCCUAAACGGUGCUUGCUUGCUGUAAGUGGAAUCGACCCCACUUGUGGCGGAGCUAACGCGUUAAGCAAGCCGCCUGGGAAGUACGGUCGCAAGAUUA
rnacentral:rRNA from 1 species